UACGGGGGGGGCAAGCGUUGUUCGGAAUUACUGGGCGUAAAGGGCUCGUAGGCGGCCAACUAAGUCGGACGUGAAAUCCCCAGGCUCCAACCUGGGAACUGCGUCCGAUACUGGAUGGCUUGAAUCCGGGAGAGGGAUGCAGAAUUCCAGGUGUAGCGGUGAAAUGCGUAGAUAUCUGGAGGAACACCGGUGGCGAAGGCGGUUCUCUGGGCAUGUCCUGACGCUGAGACGCGAAAGCGUGGGGAGCAAACAGG
rnacentral:rRNA from 1 species